AUGGCUGCAGAUAACACCUCCUCUGUGACAGAGUUUAUCCUCGCAGGCUUAACAGAUGAUCCAGAACUCCAGAUGCCCCUCUUCUUCCUGUUUCUAGGUUUCUAUGUGGUCACGGUGGUGGGGGAACCUGGGCCUGAUAACCCUGAUUGGGCUGAAUUCUCACCUUCAUAUUCCCAUGUACUUUUUCCUCCUUAACUUGUCCUUCAUAGAUUUUAGUUUCUCUACUGCCAUCAUCCCCAAAAUGCUAAUGAGUUUUGUCUCCAAGAAGAACAUCAUUUCCUAUGCAGGGUGUAUGACUCAGCUCUUUUUCUUUUGUUUUUUUGUCUUUUCUGAAUCUUUCAUCUUGUCAGCGAUGGCAUAUGACCGUUAUGUUGCCAUCUGUAAACCACUGCUGUACACAGUCACCAUGUCUCCUCAGGUGUGUUUACUCCUUUUGUUGGGUGUUUAUGGGAUGGGGGUGUUUGGGGCUAUGGCCCAUACAGGAAAUAUAUUAUUUUUGACCUUUUGUGCUGACAACCUUGUCAAUCACUAUAUGUGUGAUAUCCUUCCCCUCCUUGAGCUCUCCUGCAACAGCUCUUACAUAAAUGAACUAGUUGUCUUCACUGUUGUGACCAUUGGCAUUGGGGUGCCCAUUGUUGCCAUUUUUAUCUCUUAUGGUUUUGUUUUUUCCAGCAUUUUCCAUAUUAGCUCCACUGAAAGCAGGUCCAAAGCCUUUAGUACUUGCAGUUCUCACAUAAUUGCUGUUUCUCUCUUCUUUGGGUCAGGAGCUUUUAUGUACCUCAAACCACCUUCUAUUUUGCCCCUUGACCAGGGGAAAAUGUCUUCCUUGUUCUACACCAUUGUUGUGCCAAUGUUCAACCCAUUAAUCUAUAGUCUGAGGAAUAAGGAUGUCAAAUUUGCCCUGAGGAAAACCUUGGGCAGAAUAACUUUCUCUUGA